rnacentral:rRNA from 1 species
CACGUAGGGGGCGAGCGUUGUCCGGAUUCAUUGGGCGUAAAGCGCGCGCAGGCGGCUCGGAAGGUCGGGUGUGAAAACUCGGGGCUCAACCCCGGGCGUGCAUCCGAUACUGCCGGGCUUGAGGCAGGUAGGGGAGAUCGGAAUUCCUGGUGUAGCGGUGAAAUGCGCAGAUAUCAGGAGGAACACCGGUGGCGAAGGCGGAUCUCUGGGCCUGUCCUGACGCUGAGGCGCGAAAGCUAGGGGAGCGAACAGG